UUAGAAUCGGGCGGCUUCACCGUCCGAAUUGUAGUCUGGAGAAGCGUCCUCUGCGGCGGACCGAGCCCUAGUGCCCUGGAAAGGGGCGCUAGAGAGGGUGAGAGCCCCAUCGUGCCCGGACCAUGUCACACCACGAGGCGCUGUCGCCGAGUCGGGUUGUUUGGAAAUGCAGCCCUA
rnacentral:ncRNA from 1 species